GAUGAACGCUGGCGGCGUGCCUAAUACAUGCAAGUAGAACGCUGAAGGAGGAGCUUGCUCUUCUGGAUGAGUUGCGAACGGGUGAGUAACGCGUAGGUAACCUGCCUGGUAGCGGGGGAUAACUAUUGGAAACGAUAGCUAAUACCGCAUGACAACAGUUAUUGCAUGAUAACUGUUUAAAAGGGGCAACUGCUCCACUACCAGAUGGACCUGCGUUGUAUUAGCUAGUUGGUGAGGUAACGGCUCACCAAGGCGACGAUACAUAGCCGACCUGAGAGGGGGAUCGGCCAGACUGGGACUGAGACACGGCCCAGACUCCUACGGGAGGCAGCAGUAGGGAAUCUUCGGCAAUGGACGGAAGUCUGACCGAGCAACGCCGCGUGAGUGAAGAAGGUUUUCGGAUCGUAAAGCUCUGUUGUAAGAGAAGAACGAGUGUGAGAGUGGAAAGUUCACACUGUGACGGUAUCUUACCAGAAAGGGACGGCUAACUACGU
rnacentral:rRNA from 1 species